AAACUCUAGUAAAAUGGUUUCUAGUGAGAGAAAGAAGAGGGAGAAAGAAAGGUCAAGUGGUCUCAUGCAAGAUCAACUCUAAAACAAGGACCUUGAGACAUCCUAGAGGAUGUUUGCGCACACUAACCGAAGGCUCAUGUGCUUGAAAGAAUAAGAGAGCUAAAGGAAAAGCAAGAGGAAAGCCAUGUUACAAGGUAUAAAGAGCAUGAAGAAGAAGUCAAGAAGUAAGGAGGCAAAAUUGAUGGAAGGAAGGAAGAGUUACCAUGUUAUCAUAACAUGUCAUGUUAUGUAACCCAUAAUGUGGAUUGAUGUUCCAUUAUGCUAUGUAUCCUGUAUUAUAUUUAUAAAUGCUUAUGGCAUGUAAUAUGAAGUGAGAAGAUGAAUGGUAAUGUUAUGUGCAAAAAUAGCAUGGCAAA